rnacentral:lncRNA from 1 species
CCCUGCUGUAUUCUAGGUCCUAGCCUGAGUCCUUCCUUGCUCAAUGAGGAGUCUAAAGACCUUUCACGGCUUUGGAGUUAAGAGGGUGAAAGAUACAUCAAAGAAAACCAACAAUAUGAAGAGAUAAGAAUGAGGAAUGCCUGUUGGAUUUGGAACCUCCAAAGGACCCAAAAGCAAGAGAAUAUAAGAGGCCUCCUCAUCACAAAUAAAAGAGCUGAGAGAAAAUGUUUCAAGAUGCUUCACUGGAAAAACUCACCAGGUGCCUGUAACUAAUUUCUCUAAUUGGCAUUCUCACUCUCACAUUCAAAACUUUCACAAUGAACAUACAACACAAUCAAUGAU